rnacentral:rRNA from 1 species
UAAGGAAUAUUGGACAAUGGUCGCAAGACUGAUCCAGCCAUGCCGCGUGCAGGAAGACGGCCCUAUGGGUUGUAAACUGCUUUUGUACCAGAGAAAACCUAUCUAUGUGUAGAUAGCUGAUAGUAUGGUAAGAAUAAGCAUCGGCUAACUUCGUGCCAGCAGCCGCGGUAAGACGAAGUAUGCAAGCGUUAUCCGGAUUCAUUGGGUUUAAAGGGUGCGUAGGCGGGCUUGUAAGUCAGUGGUGAAAUCUCUCAGCUUAACUGAGAAACUGCCAUUGAUACUGCAGGCCUAGAGUAUAGAUGACGUUGGCGGAAUAUGACAUGUAGUGGUGAAAUACUUAGAUAUGUCAUAGAACACCGAUUGCGAAGGCAGCUAACGAAACUAUAACUGACGCUGAGGCACGAAAGUGCGGGGAUCAAACA